CGGCGAGAAGGCGAACGAGAGAGACGAGGAAGCGAAAAUUUCUCCUGAUGUUGCUGGCUGCUGCUGCUGCUUGACUGUGGUGUACUGAAUUCGAAUCCAUCCAAGAAUUCUUCUUCGCUGGCUGCUGGCAUGAUGCUAGCUCCAUAAAAACGAUCCGAACCUCUGUGGCUCCUGUACAAGCGACUGGAAGUCUAUAUGAUAGAGUAAGCUCUCCUUUUCGCUUUCUUUUCUUCUUUGCCUCUAUAAGCUCAUCCUGUUUUUCUUCGCAGCUAAUGGCUGUGCGGUGGAUGAGUUCUAACCUUCGCGUAGUCGGCAUGAAAAGUCAUCUCCUCGCUACCGACGGAGUCGUCAUCGUUGUCGCCACCAUGAUCCUCCUGACGUCCGCUAGUACUUGCUUUGGCGUCUACUUCAUGAAUAGGAGGAGCGACCGGAGGUGCGGCAUAUGCAUUGAGAGCUUUAUGAUUUUUAUGAGGGUGAUGGUGAUGGUGGUGAUGUUUUUGUUGAUCCAGGUGGAUUGAACUUGAUGCUCCUCGCGGCAUCUUGGCCUUGAAUUGUUCUAGCUGCCGGUCGUUGGAGUCUAGUGCUACAACCUGCAUAGGAGCGCCUUUAGCAUCUAUUAUGACUCGGAGAAGCCUGGGAAGAGCGGAAUUGAGGAGCUACCUCGUCAUGAGAUGGUGGUGAUGGUGUUCUCGCACUCGUGCUCGUGGAAAACCGAGCCACCUUUGGGAGAGAACCUUCGCCCUUUGGUGGAGAAUCUGCACAGGGAAUUUCGUCCGUCUUUUGUUCUCUUUUUGUCUUAAAACCAGUGAUUGCUUUACCUCUGCUUUCCAGGAUCCGAGCGCAGCAACUUGGAUGCAGCAUGUUGAUCAACGCGACGAGCAGCAAGCAGCAACCGAGGCAAGUCUCUAGUCUGACGAUUCCGAGCAUAAUUCUUCACCCGUGAAAUAUCCAGGCGGCGCCAAGUAAAAUUGGAGUACCAGAGCCGAGCACCGACCGGGGCUACAAACAAUCAAAAUGCUGCUUCGACAACUUAAAGCUGCCUGGACCACAAAACGGGAUUGUGAGCUGCGCGGCAAAACAAACAAGCCGAGCGGAGAGAUGCGGGAGGGAGGAGCAAUGCAAGUGAUACACGGGAGGCAAAUAAAUGGGAUAUACAAAUGGCGAGCGGGCGAGCCGACGUAAGAAAAGAAGCGUGAGGUAAGCCGAGAGAGAGAGAGAGAGAGAGAGCUCUCACAGCACACCGGCCAAAUAAAUGAGGCUCUCUCGGAGGAGAAGAUGGCCGCAACAAACAGGGCGGGGUUACGCUAAAAACUUUGAUAUCGAGGCCAAGGAGGAUGGGCUGAUUUGUUUUUAAGGGGAGGCUGGGCAGACAGAGAAGGCCACCGGGGUCCCACGAUUUGAGGAAAAUGGAAGACAAGUUCGGCACGGUUUGGCAGACACAAAGUAAAAAGUCCGGGUCAGGACGGGAGCAGCAAACCAAAGUUUAAUCUUUUAUUGGUGAAGCGGCGGCAGCACUUGGUAUGCACCACCCAACACUCCUCUACGCUUACGCGACGACGAACUACAUGGCAUUCACCCGAGACACACAGUUUUGCAAGCGAGAAGAAGGACCGCGAUGAUUUGGACAAGGACAAGCAAGAGCAGGCUUAAAAAACUCCCUCGGCCCCCUCGCUUGCUUGCUAGCUAGCACAGCAUUCCUCUUUCGCCAUCGACACGAAAACUGGGGCAGAGCAAAAGGAAAAAAAGCACUCCCAACUGACAGGCAUGGCCUUGAAGAGCGUACGAAAGAAGCAAUUUUUUGGCGGGGAUGAUUGGGAUAGUUGGACACGAAGGUUGCUCUUCACGGUGCUUUGCUUUGAAUGGGAGCGAAGCUCGAGACAAAUGGGAAGACAGGGACACGAGCGGCGCAGGCAGUGUGACCACUGCCACCACCAGCGCCACACGCACAGACUGGAAGCGAGCGAUCGAUCAGACAAGGACGAGGGGACUUCGAAAGUAAACUUUGUGGAGCCUUGUCCUCGCUUGAUCAGUGCCGCUGCUACUUGUAUGAAGAACAACGGGGUCCAGAUCGCGAGGAACGAAGCAAAGUCAGUGUGCUGUGCUUGACAGAUCGAUUCGACCGGCUGAAAAUCGGGCCGGGAAGAGGAGUCAAUCAGCUCGAUCCAAGCGAUCGAAAGAGAUAUGAAGCGAAGCUGUCUCCACAACAACACACACAGCGCAUUGAUCAUCCA